CAUUUGCAAGCAUAUGUUUGCUAGAGCUAGAGUGAAAUUUGUAGCUAUUAUUGCGUGAUAUUUGACAUUUGUAUGCAGAUUUUUUAUUUUUUUUUUAGUUUAAAUGCUCUUGGCGUUUUGUGUUUUGUUUUUAGCGUUGUCGGCUGUGCCGUUCUACCUUUUCCAGGUGCAUCCAAAGGAAAAUAAACCAAACCGGCUUGGCAUAAGAGGGAAAACAAUUUUUUUUAAACAUUUCUUUUCCUGUUAUGUCAAGGGGUUGUGCCUAUUUUUCUUGCGAUGUCUCCCAGUCUUUGGAAUAUUUUUUACAAUGUUUCUUCCGUGUUUUUUUCCGAACGUCGAACCUUAUCAAUUAUCAACUCUGCCGCUGAUGACGACGAAGUCGAACGACUUUAGUAUAGUAACGCUUCGAUGGCAUGACCAGGAGUGACGUUCAUGUCCGUCAAAACUUCAAAACUUGCCUGCUUAAAAAAAAAAAAAGUUUACAAGCGUUACAAGCACCACCAUGCUGCAUUGAACUACACGAGUACGCGCGCGCGCUCGUCAGGCAAGGGAAGCUGCAGUCGCAGGCUCGCCCUUGUAACCACUUCUGUGCCCAUAGUACUGUUUAGUUUUUCUUUCAGCAGGAUCAAUUCCUGUAUAAUACAAAGGGCACGCACUGUCAAUUCAGCUACUGAAGGAGCCUGAAGACAUGCUAACGUUCAAAUAAUCAAGGGUCGUCUUUGACGCGGCUAAGCAGGUGUUUAUCUAUCACGUGCCUUAAUUGCAGAUCAACGUUAAAAUCGUAAAAAUAACAAAACUAUUGUGACUAAACUACUAAACUUCUCGUGUAUAUGUGACAGGGACCUCGUUAAUUUUGGCAAGCUGAAAUAACUAAAUUAACCAUAAUUUAAUAACACAAUCUGGACCCGUGAAGAUUCUCGGCCAUGUAGAGUCAGACGAGUCGGACAACUACAAGAACAAAAUAAACGAGCGCACUUAUCAAUCCACUAGCCAAGCUAAGCCAACCUGAAAACAUAAAAAGCUCUGCCGGUGUAAAAAAAUUCCUAAUUUCUUCGCAUCUCGGCGUCGUCGGUCGCAGUUACUCGUUCAAUUCCGAGUUGCUUUGUUGAGUUCGCAAGUGACCAUUUUUAUACCAAAGCUUGUAAUCGGUUUUGCAGUUCGUUUUGUGACUUGACGCUUGUUUGUUUAGUGAAGCCAAGAAAGAGCGAUGGCGAAGGUGUACCGGGGAUCGUCGCAUCGCAGCUCUUGCACGUGCCUCGAGCUUGACCGGACCUACAAGCGAUUUGCUGAAGAGUUUGGAUGAAUUGGGGAUGCACUUUUCUUGCUACAGUGCGAUCUCUGAGCCAUACUUCAGCCUGCAUGGAAACUGCUGCCAGACCUGCAUCACUUGCAUAACCAGGUACUUUCCAAUCGUCUGGCUCGGAUAAUGUUGGACUCUGAUUCCAGUAAGGAAAGCUCCAAAGUUUGGGAGCUGCCUCUGCAAUGGUAUUAGGUUUCCUGUCCCCUGUGCUUUAAGCAAGGAUUGGAUCACGGCCAAGUGUGGCCAGGUAUGAGGCUCCCAUAAAGAACCCAGAGACUAAGGUCCGUUGCAACUGCUGUUCUUUUUCAUGCCAGAGUUCUUCCCUCAAGCUGGUUCACUGAAUAAAAUUAUUUUCUAUUGAC